rnacentral:lncRNA from 1 species
CAUGUGAUCUUUUGACCUGAGAUCAUCAUGGUAUCUUAUGUAUAUGGAUUCUUACUUUGAUUUAUUCCCUAGCAUGCUACUUUGAGAUGUGUGUAGAAUAUUCUGAGUAUGAUGAAGUGUGCAUGAAGGUUGUGAGUGGUCAAUAAGAAAUCGAUCACUCCUUGUAAGAGAAGAGAACAUCCUAUGUGAUCUCAUAGGAUGAUGACUCUGAG